GACGAACGCUGGCGGCGUGCUUAACACAUGCAAGUCGAACGGUGAAGCGCUUUCCUUUUUGGUUGGUGUGGAUGAGUGGCGAACGGGUGAGUAACACGUGAGUAACCUGCCCCCUUCUUCUGGAUAACCGCAUGAAAGUGUGGCUAAUACGGGAUAUUCUGCGCCUGCUGCAUGGUGGGUGUGGGAAAGAUUGUGCCUUUGGGUGUUUUCGGUGGGGGAUGGGCUCGCGGCCUAUCAGCUUGUUGGUGGGGUGAUGGCCUACCAAGGCGGUGACGGGUAGCCGGCCUGAGAGGGUGGACGGUCACACUGGGACUGAGACACGGCCCAGACUCCUACGGGAGGCAGCAGUGGGGAAUAUUGCACAAUGGGCGCAAGCCUGAUGCAGCGACGCCGCGUGAGGGAUGGAGGCCUUCGGGUUGUGAACCUCUUUCGCCAGUGAAGCAGGCCUGCUCCUUG
rnacentral:rRNA from 1 species